rnacentral:tRNA from 1 species
GUAGUGGCUCAGUGGUAGAGCACUUGCCUAGCAUGUGUGAGGCACUGGGUUCAAUUCUCAGCACUGCA